rnacentral:tRNA from 1 species
GAUGGGAUGGCCGAGUUUCAGGUGUUAAAUUGUAAAUUUAAGGACGAAGAUGAUCUUCUCUCAUCA